AAAAAGUUAGUUAAUUCUAUAACAUUAGAGUGUCAACCUAAAGUAAUCAAUAAUGAUACUUUUUG
rnacentral:tRNA from 1 species